rnacentral:rRNA from 1 species
UGAGGAAUUUUGCGCAAUGGGGGAAACCCUGACGCAGCAACGCCGCGUGGGCGAUGAAGGCCUUCGGGUCGUAAAGCCCUGUCGGGCGGGAAGAACGCUCUUGGUCGAAAGACUGGGGGGUGACGGUACCGCCAGAGGAAGCACCGGCUAACUCCGUGCCAGCAGCCGCGGUAAUACGGAGGGUGCAAGCGUUAUUCGGAAUUACUGGGCGGAAAGGGCGUGCAGGCGGGAGAGCAAGUCUGAUGUGAAAGCCCGGGGCUUAACCCCGGAAUGGCAUUGGAAACUG